AUGACAGGGACUAGAGGUAAAUGACGGGGACUAGAGGUAAAUGACGGGGACUAGAGGUAAAUGACAGGGACUAGAGGUACAUUACAGGGACUAGAGGUACAUGACAGGGACUAGAGGUACAUGACAGGGACUAGAGGUACAUGACAGGGACUAGAGGUACAUGACAGGGACUAGAGGUACAUGACAGGGAUUAGAGGUACAUGACAGGGACUAGAUGUAAAUGACAGAGACUAGAGGUAAAUUACAGG